rnacentral:rRNA from 1 species
AUUGAACGCUGGCGGCAUGCUUUACACAUGCAAGUCGAACGGCAGCGCGGGCUUCGGCCUGGCGGCGAGUGGCGAACGGGUGAGUAAUGCAUCGGAACGUGCCCAGUAGUGGGGGAUAGCCCGGCGAAAGCCGGAUUAAUACCGCAUACGACCUGAGGGUGAAAGCGGGGGACCGAAGGGCCUCGCGCUAUUGUAGCGGCCGAUGUCGGAUUAGCUAGUUGGUGGGGUAAAGGCUUACCAAGGCGACGAUCCGUAGCUGGUCUGAGAGAACGACAAGCCACACUGGAACUGGGACACGGCCAAGAGUCCUACGGGAGGCAGCAGUGGGGAAUGUUGGACAAUGGGGGCAACCCUGAUCCAGCCAGGCCGCGUGCGGGAAGAAGGCGUUCGGGUUGUAAACCGCUUUUGUGCGGGAAGAAAUGCUCUGGGCUAAUACCCCGGGGGGAUGACGGUACCGGAAGAAUAAGCACCGGCUAACUACGUG